CCUACGGGUGGCAGCAGUGGGGAAUAUUGGACAAUGGGGGCAACCCUGAUCCAGCCGUGCCGCGUGUGUGAAGAGGGCCCUCGGGUUGUAAAGCACUUUCAGUGAGGAAGAACGCCUGGUGGUUAAUACCCAUCAGGAAAGACAUCACUCACAGAAGAAGCACCGGCUAACUCCGUGCCAGCAGCCGCGGUAAUACGGAGGGUGCGAGCGUUAAUCGGAAUUACUGGGCGUAAAGCGCGCGUAGGUGGCUUGAUAAGCCGGUUGUGAAAGCCCCGGGCUCAACCUGGGAACGGCAUCCGGAACUGUCAAGCUAGAGUGCAGGAGAGGAAGGUAGAAUUCCCGGUGUAGCGGUGAAAUGCGUAGAGAUCGGGAGGAAUACCAGUGGCGAAGGCGGCCUUCUGGACUGACACUGACACUGAGGUGCGAAAGCGUGGGUAGCAAACAGGAUUAGAUACCCUUGUAGUC
rnacentral:rRNA from 1 species